UCCCAGCUACGGAGGCAGAGGCAGAAGCCAAGGUGUCAGGAGGCUGUCCUCUCCCGGAGGCUCAGAGGAGGCUGCCUGGCUGCGUCUGCCUUCCGGUGGUGGCCGACAAUUUCCGCUGCUCCUUGGCUGGCGGCCGCCCCGCCCCAGUCCCUGCCUCCAGUGCCACCUGCCCGCCUGUCCUGUGUGUCUGUGGCUCUAGGUCCAGCAGUCAUAUCGGACUGAGGGCUCACCCUUUGCUUUCGGCAUCUGCAAAGAUUCUAUUUCCAAAUAAGCUGAACUGUGUGCGUCAGACCGAUCACUACUUGGAUGAAUGGGCUCAUUUAGUAGCUGGGGGUCUCCGCUCUCCCGGGCAGCCACAGCAGAUUCGACUCCAAGCACAACAGAACAGAUAGCCUACUGUUAGCCACAGGUGUACGAAGAGGCAGGCACGUGUCUAAGUCAUCUACCUGGAUGAAUACAGUUAGGCCUUUACAGAAGAGGGAAUUGAGGCACAGGAUAUCAGCCGCGAAGCAGCAGGUGCAGGUUGGACCCAGGGGAUCCCAUGCCACCUCCUCUACUAAAUUUCAUCCAUGAAGCUACAAGGGAGGGCGUUGCAGUCUUAAGAACUAGGAGUGUUGGGAGCCGACUCCGUGGCACAGUAGGUUAAUCCUCCACCUGUGGUGCCGGCAUCCCAUCGGGCACCAGUUCUAGUCCCGGCUGCCCCUCUUCCAGUCCAGCUCUCUGCUGUGGCCUGGGAAAGCAGCAGAAGAUGGCCCAAGUCCUGAGCCCCUGCACCCGCAUGGGAGACCUGGAAGAAGCUCCUGGCUCCUGGCUCCUGGCUUCAGAUUGGCGCAGCUCUGGUCGUUGCCACCAUCUGGGGAGUGAACCAACGGAAGGAAGACCUUUCUCUCUGUCUCUCCCUCUCACUGUC